rnacentral:lncRNA from 1 species
UCUCAUCGUUUAACUAAUUAGUUAUUUACGGAAUAAAUCACUCGAAACGUUAUUUGGUCGUAUUUAAAUUCAAAUUCGAGGCUCAAGCGCGAUCAGGGGUAGCCUUUAUAUAAAUAGAAUGCGCAAGAAUUGACGGGUGCGAUCAUAUCAGCACUAAUGCACCGGAUCCCAUCAGAACUCCGCAGUUAAGCGUGCUUGGGCGAGAGUAGUACUAGGAUGGGUGACCUCCUGGGAAGUCCUCGUGUUGCACCCCUCCAAUUUUAUAUCUCAUUAAAUUUUUUUCUAUUUUUUUAUAUCUCAUCGUUUAACUAAUUAGUUAUUUACGGAAUAAAUCACUCGAAACGUUAUUUGGUCGUAUUUAAAUUCAAAUUCGAGGCUCAAGCGCGAUCAGGGGUAGCCUUUAUAUAAAUAGAAUGCGCAAGAAUUGACGGGUGCGAUCAUACCAGCACUAAUGCACCGGAUCCCAUCAGAACUCCGCAGUUAAGCGUGCUUGGGCGAGAGUAGUACUAGGAUGGGUGACCUCCUGGGAAGUCCUCGUGUUGCACCCCUCCAAUUUUAUAUCUCAUUAAAUUUUUUUCUAUUUUUUCUUAUAUCUCAUCGUUAACUAAUUAGUUAUUUACGGAAUAAAUCACUCGAAACGUUAUUUGGUCGUAUUUAAAUUCAAAUUCGAGGCUCAAGCGCGAUCAGGGGUAGCCUUUAUAUAAAUAGAAUGCGCAAGAAUUGACGGGUGCGAUCAUACCAGCACUAAUGCACCGGAUCCCAUCAGAACUCCGCAGUUAAGCGUGCUUGGGCGAGAGUAGUACUAGGAUGGGUGACCUCUGGGAAGUCCUCGUGUUGCACCCCUCCAAUUUUAUAUCUCAUUAAAUUUUUUUCUAUUUUUUUUAUAUCUCAUCGUUAACUAAUUAGUUAUUUACGGAAUAAAUCACUCGAAACGUUAUUUGGUCGUAUUUAAAUUCAAAUUCGAGGCUCAAGCGCGAUCAGGGGUAGCCUUUAUAUAAAUAGAAUGCGCAAGAAUUGACGGGUGCGAUCAUACCAGCACUAAUGCACCGGAUCCCAUCAGAACUCCGCAGUUAAGCGUGCUUGGGCGAGAGUAGUACUAGGAUGGGUGACCUCCUGGGAAGUCCUCGUGUUGCACCCCUCCAAUUUUAUAUCUCAUUAAAUUUUUUUCUAUUUUUUUUAUAUCUCAUCGUUUAACUAAUUAGUUAUUUACGGAAUAAAUCACUCGAAACGUUAUUUGGUCGUAUUUAAAUUCAAAUUCGAGGCUCAAGCGCGAUCAGGGGUAGCCUUUAUAUAAAUAGAAUGCGCAAGAAUUGACGGGUGCGAUCAUACCAGCACUAAUGCACCGGAUCCCAUCAGAACUCCGAAGUUAAGCGUGCUUGGGCGAGAGUAGUACUAGGAUGGGUGACCUCCUGGGAAGUCCUCGUGUUGCACCCCUCCAAUUUUAUAUCUCAUUAAAUUUUUUUUCUAUUUUUUUUAUAUCUC